AUUGAACGCUGGCGGCAGGCUUAACACAUGCAAGUCGAGCGGGGAAGGGUAGCUUGCUACCUGACCUAGCGGCGGACGGGUGAGUAAUGCUUAGGAAUCUGCCUAUUAGUGGGGGACAACAUUCCGAAAGGAAUGCUAAUACCGCAUACGCCCUACGGGGGAAAGCAGGGGAUCUUCGGACCUUGCGCUAAUAGAUGAGCCUAAGUCAGAUUAGCUAGUUGGUGGGGUAAAGGCCUACCAAGGCGACGAUCUGUAGCGGGUCUGAGAGGAUGAUCCGCCACACUGGGACUGAGACACGGCCCAGACUCCUACGGGAGGCAGCAGUGGGGAAUAUUGGACAAUGGGCGCAAGCCUGAUCCAGCCAUGCCGCGUGUGUGAAGAAGGCCUUUUGGUUGCAAAGCACUUUAAGCGAGGAGGAGGCUACUUGGAUUAAUACUCUAGGAUAGUGGACGUUACUCGCAGAAUAAGCACCGGCUGACUCUGUGCCAGCAGCCGCGGUAAUACAGAGGGUGCGAGCGUUAAUCGGAUUUACUGGGCGUAAAGCGUGCGUAGGCGGCUUUUUAAGUCGGAUGUGAAAUCCCUGAGCUUAACUUAGGAAUUGCAUUCGAUACUGGGAAGCUAGAGUAUGGGAGAGGAUGGUAGAAUUCCAGGUGUAGCGGUGAAAUGCGUAGAGAUCUGGAGGAAUGCCGAUGGCGAAAGCAGCCAUCUGGCCUAAUACUGACGCUGAGGUACGAAAAGCAUGGGGGAGCAAACAGG
rnacentral:rRNA from 1 species